rnacentral:lncRNA from 1 species
CCUCAUCUUCAGAAUGGAAAUGAUCAUCCUUACUGCUCACGCUUCUAUAGGAAGGGGAGUUACCCAUGGAUGGGACACUACUCUGAGUGUCCACCUGGAGUUGAGCUCUGGGAGAACUCAGUCAUUUCUAUCUGUUUACAGCGAUUCAGCACCCCAUUAGGAACUUCCUCAGCAAACCCGAGAAAGAGAUCAGGCAAGACUUGUGCUGGGCAGACCCUUUGGAGUGAGGCUUUCUGUGCCGGGCAGGUAUUCCCUCUUAGUCCUCGAUCCGUUGCAGCUAAUCAGUAACCAAGGACCAUGUGACCACUGCUCACAGAGACUUGAUCAUGCAGGUGAUGAUGGUGAAUUAGAGGAAUACGACCUCCCAAGGUAAAACUACUUUCUCUCUCUUUCUGGGAAUAUGACCCUGCUCUUUGUGAGUUUCUCAUAGCCUGCACUGAACAUGGUCCUAAGAUCACUCACCCAUCAGUCUCAGGGAUUUGUAGGUUGGAGAUUUGUGGAGCCUCAUUGGUUCAUUUGCCAGUUGUCUGAGAUUAUGCUUUUAUGCACAGUUGCUUGGAUACCCCUGGUGUCCUCCUGGCCCUGUGGUCUCAUCUGUCCCUCCUCCUAGUUCUCUAGCCAAGAGUUCGCCUCCCUGCACACAUAUCAGUGCCUGGGAAUUCUUUCUGAGGGAAUUUCCCAUUCAGUCAGACAGAGGACAAGUAGUUUUUCUUUUGACCAACCUCUCCUUAGACCAGCCCUCCCUGGUCUUCUGAUAAGUCUUGUUUCUUUCUCAGGUCCCCAGAACCACAUUGGGCUUCCUUUUGGCACAUCCUUGUGCAUUUCUCUUUCUCCCUUCCUGCUUUUCUAGCCAAAAUCUCUAUGUCAGUGAGCUUAUACAUUUGCAUGACUUCCUUUGUCCCCUCUGUCUUACUCUCAAAUUUGCAUUCUUGACAUAUUCUUCCUCUUCUCAUCUAAAGUGUUUUCCUGUUCUUCAUCUUCCUUAGUGACAUGACCAUUGUUGAUAUUCAGACCUGGAUCUGGUAACUUUGAAUUCUUUCUUUUAGUCAUCCUCUGUAUCCAAUCUGAUAUAAGUAUAUGCUUUCCUGGAAAUAGCUAGAUUUCAUCCUUCUCUUUCCUAUCAUUAUCCUGGACUAGGGUCUCACUAUCACAUUCAUUUAUUCAUUCGUUCAACAAACAUUUAUUGGGCACCUAGAAAGUGGCAGACCCUCAGUAGAGGGGUCAUGAAUACUGCAUUCCUAAAGUCUCCCCACUCAUUUCCCUUCCUCCAUUCUUUCUUGCAGUUCUA